rnacentral:rRNA from 1 species
CUUUCUAUUAGCUUUCAGUGAGAUUACACAUGCAAGUAUCCACAGCCCUGUGAGAAUGCCCUCAACCAAAAGAUNNNNGAGGAGCGAGUAUCAAGCACGCAUCAUGCAGCUCAAAACACUUUGCUUAGCCACGCCCCCACGGGAAACAGCAGUGACAAACUUUUAGCAAUGAACGAAANGUUUAACUAAGCCACACUGACCACCAGAGUCGGUCAAUUUCGUGCCAGCCACCGCGGUCAUACGAUUGACUCGAGUUAAUAGAGCCCGGCGUAAAGGGUGUUUAAGAUUUAAUUCCAAGUACAAUAAAGCUAACCUGUAACUAAGUCGUAAAAAACCACAGUUACAGUGAAAUAAACUACGAAAGUGGCUUUAGUACUCUGAAUACACUAUAGCUAAGGUACAAACUGGGAUUAGAUACCCCACUAUGCUUAGCCCUAAACCUCAGUAACUCAACCAACAAACUUAUUCGCCAGAAUACUACAAGCAACAGCUUGAAACUCAAAGGACCUGGCGGUGCUUUACAUCCGUCUAGAGGAGCCUGUUCUAUAAUCGAUACACCCCGAUAAACCUCACCACCUCUUGCCAUCAGCCUGUAUACCGCCAUCUUCAGCAAACUCCCUAAUGACAGCAAAGUAAGCGGAAGUAUCAUCAUAAAAACGUUAGGUCAAGGUGCAGCCAAUGACGUGGGAAGAAAUGGGCUACAUUUUCUAAAUCAGAAAAUCAUACGAUANACCCUUAUGAAACU